AUUGAACGCUGGCGGCAGGCCUAACACAUGCAAGUCGAGCGGCAGCGGGAAAGUAGCUUGCUACUUUUGCCGGCGAGCGGCGGACGGGUGAGUAAUGCCUGGGAAAUUGCCCAGUCGAGGGGGAUAACAGUUGGAAACGACUGCUAAUACCGCAUACGCCCUACGGGGGAAAGCAGGGGACCUUCGGGCCUUGCGUGAUAGGAUAUGCCCGGGUGGGAUUAGCUAGUUGGUGAGGUAAUGGCUCACCAAGGCGACGAUCCCGAGCUGGUCUGAGAGGAUGAUCAACCACACUGGAACUGAGACACGGACCAGACUCCUACGGGAGGCAGCAGUGGGGAAUAUUGCACAAUGGGGGAAACCCUGAUGCAGCCAUGCCGCGUGUGUGAAGAAGGCCUUCGGGUUGUAAAGCACUUUCAGCGAGGAGGAAAGGUUGAUGCCUAAUACGUAUCAACUGUGACGUUACUCGCAGAAGAAGCACCGGCUAACUCCGUGCCAGCAGCCGCGGUAAUAC
rnacentral:rRNA from 1 species